CUGCAGAUGAAUCUUACUGCAAACAGCAGCCUCCUUGGUAGUGCAUGCAGCCUGUCGCCUGUAUAGGUUGCCUUAAGGGACCUUGGAGACUGCC
ensembl:snoRNA SNORA70 Small nucleolar RNA SNORA70